CCUACGGGAGGCAGCAGUGAGGAAUAUUGGUCAAUGGACGCAAGUCUGAACCAGCCAUGUAGCGUGAAGGAUGACUGCCCUAUGGGUUGUAAACUUCUUUUAUAUGGGAGUAAAAUGUUCCACGUGUGGGAUUUUGUAUGUACCAUAUGAAUAAGGAUCGGCUAACUCCGUGCCAGCAGCCGCGGUAAUACGGAGGAUUCGAGCGUUAUCCGGAUUUAUUGGGUUUAAAGGGAGCGUAGGUGGAUGGAUAAGUCAGAUGUGAAAGUUUGCGGCUCAACCGUAAAAUUGCAGUUGAUACUGGCAGUCUAGAGUACAGUAGAGGUGGGCGGAAUGCGUGGUGUAGCGGUGAAAUGCUUAGAUAUCAUGAAGAACUCCGAUUGCGAAGGCAGCUCACUAGGCUACAACUGACACUGAGGCUCGAAAGUGUGGGGAUCAAACAGGAUUAGAUACCCGAGUAGUC
rnacentral:rRNA from 1 species